rnacentral:rRNA from 1 species
UACGUAGGGUGCGAGCGUUACUCGGAAUUACUGGGCGUAAAGCGUGCGCAGGCGGUGAGUUAAGUCUGAUGUGAAAGCCCCGGGCUCAACCUGGGAAUGGCAUUGGAAACUGGCUCGCUGGAGUAUGGCAGAGGGGGGUGGAAUUCCGCGUGUAGCAGUGAAAUGCGUAGAGAUGCGGAGGAAGACCGGUGGCGAAGGCGGUCUGCUGGGCAGUUUCUGACACUGAGGCGCGACAGCGUGGGGAGCAAACAGG